rnacentral:tRNA from 1 species
UAGCUCAGUGGUAGAGCAUUUGCCUGGUACCCACAAGGUCCUGGGUUCAAUUCUCAG